GUUAAAAAGCUCGUAGUCGGAUUUCGGGGCGGGGCGACCGGUCUGCCGAUGGGUAUGCACUGGUCGGCGCGUCCUUCCUUCCGGAGACCGUGCCUACUCUUAACUGAGCGGGGGCGGGAGACGGAUCGUUUACUUUGAAAAAAUCAGAGUGUUUCAAGCAGGCGUCUCGCCUUUGCAUGGAUUAGCAUGGGAUAAUGAAAUAGGACUUUGGUGCUAUUUUGUUGGUUUCGAACACCGAAGUAAUGAUUAACAGGGACAGUCAGGGGCACUCGUAUUCCGUCGAGAGAGGUGAAAUUCUCAGACCAAUGGAAGACGAACAACUGCGAAAGCAUUUGCCAGGGAUGUUUUCACUGAUCAAGAACGAAAGUUAGGGGAUCGAAGACGAUCAGAUACCGUCGUAGUCUUAACCAUAAACCAUGCCGACUAGGGAUCGGAGGAUGUUAGAUUUGACUCCUUCGGCACCUUACGGGAAACUAAAGUCUUUGGGUUCCGGGGGGAGUAUGGUCGCAAGGCUGAAACUUAAAGGAAUUGACGGAAGGGCACCACCAGGAGUGGAGCCUGCGGCUUAAUUUGACUCAACACGGGGAAACUUACCAGGUCCAGACAUUGUAAGGAUUGACAGAUUGAGAGCUCUUUCUUGAUUCGAUGGGUGGUGGUGCAUGGCCGUUCUUAGUUGGUGGAGUGAUUUGUCUGGUUAAUUCCGUUA
rnacentral:rRNA from 1 species